ensembl:lncRNA
UGUGUGUGUGUCAUGGUUGACAUAAAGCAAUAAGACUUUGGUGAUAAAGAUUCCUGAGCAAAACUAGACAUAUAUAUAUGUUUUGAAGGAAAUCACGUCAUGGCAAUUAAAAAAAAAGCUCAUUUCAUGUGAAGGUUUCUGAAAUAUUUGCUGGUGUUCAUAGUGUUACAUAACACCUGUACAUAUCUGUCAUUAAUAAAUCCACAUAAAACAUUUAUAAAGACUUGUUCCAAGAAGUCACUAAGAUGGCUUUGGUUCAUUUUGACGUCAGCUUGACAUUGUGUUAUAACAUUUUCCAGGUUGACUUUGCAUUUGGUAUGUCAAAGUCACUUAUGGUUCAUUUUAGUCAUUUUAGUCUAAACCCUAAUAAAUAUUAAUACUAUUAUUACAGAUAUUUAUAUAUUAUUCACAGGCCAUUAUGAGCUAUAAAUGUUGUGCAGAACAGCACAUGGCAUUAUAAUAAAUAGUGAAGCUUGGAUUAGGACAUGAUUAUAUAGUACCAAGAAAUUACUCAUAAUGCAUUAUGACAGUUUUAUGGACUUCACAGAAAAUGCUACUGUAGUUUUUCAACACAAGUUGCACCAACCAGCGCCAAGAUCAUAAGAGAAAGUGAAAUCUAUCACUUUAUUGCCUCAUUGCUUUAGAUGCAGUUUCUUCUGCUAUCGUCUAAAAUUUUACAUAACACAUUCUCAGUAGGAAAUUUGAAUGAAAUAUGGUCUUACUUUUUUCCCAGGCAUGUAAACAGAGAAAGAUUUUUGAGGCAUAAACAGCAGCCAAUGCACUACAUAACAUAGUAGAAGCUCACUCAUGAUUGUGUGAGAAAAGAUUGGUGUAUUAAUGUCCAUACUGCCUCAAGAGAUUGUAAGUCUAGCUGAUAACGGAAAAAAGUUUAAAAAAUCAAUAUCUAAUUCAAUGAAACUAAUGUGUUCAAUGAAUGAACAAUAUGGCAAUGAUGUAUCCAGCUUUAAAAGAGUUCAAUCUUUUAGAAUUGAAUCACUUGUGGUUUUCUACAUAAAAUGGCCUGCCAUCUUUUUUCUCCUAGACAGUCACCUGUAUAGCACAGAACCCUGUUGGUGAAUUUAUUUAAUAAAUUUGUAAUAUGUUACUAGAUAGUUAUCUUAUUCUUUCAUUUUACUAGUUCAUUGCCAUGGCUUAGUUAUCUCAUUCUUUCACUUAACAAGUUAAUUGCCAUUGUUAAGUUAUCUCAUUCUUUCACUUUACUAGUUCACUGCAAUUGCUUAGUUAUCUCAUUCUUUCACUUUACUAGUUCAUUGCCGUGGCUUAGUUAUCUCAUUCUUUCACUUUACUAGUUCAUGGACAUGGCUUAGUUAUUGGUUUUUGCUUGUCUGUUUGUUUGUUUUCGCUUUACAAGGCUGUUAUCAUGGGUUAUUUAUCUUGUUCCCUCACAUUACUAUGUCCUGGCCGUGGCUUAGUUAUCUCAUUCCCUCAUGUUACUAAAUUGUGGCCACGGCUUCGUUAUCCCAUUCCCAUGACUUAACAAUCUACAUUCAAUGCACUUUGUAUGUGUGUGUCUCACAUCAUGAACACGAGAGACAAAUAAAUGUAUUAUGUGUAUGGGUGGAGCGGACCCAGGGUUCACAUGUUGCCACAAUGUCACGACUGUGUUAAUAUGUAUUCUGAUUAGAGAGAGUGCUCUCCUCAACAGCCGUUGCUCAGGGACCCUGCAUAAUUACAGACACAUUCUCGCCUUGUACAAUGCAAAUCCAAAGUGACAAGGUGAAAGCUGAUCUAUACAAGGAUUCAAUGUGCAUUUGAAUUCCAGGCAUAAUUACAAUACUAAAAUUAUUAUCAUUUGAAUAAUACAAAUGGGAAUACAGUUCAGAUCGUAAUAGCAAGUGUGAAAAGGGGCUUUUCAUUUGAUUCUUAAUGCUCUUCUUGUAUUUUUAAAGUAAUUACACUUAUAGUCCUGAGGUAAAAUUAUUACUAUUAUUUAAUAUUCAAUAGAAUACAUUGUUAUAAUUCAACAUCACUGCAAUUGUGCUUUGGGCAAACUUCUCACGUCUUCAAGCCCUCGGUUCUUAUUCAACAAACCCAUAAUAUAUAAAAGUUAGUAUGUUUUUAUCGACUUCUUAUAGUUACUAGCUUGUUCAACUGGUCACUUGAAUUGAAGGAGUUUAAUCCAAACCCCAAUUCUAUAUAUUAUUUUAUAGUAAAAAGGCCUGUAGUAAAGAAAUGACGUGGUGAGUUACAAGAUUUAUAUAAUAAAGAAUUUUGUUCAACUGUGUGAAGAAGCAAUUUAGUUUCGCUGCUGUUGUCUGCUGGUACCGUCUUCGAGACAGAGAGAGAGACAGAGAGAGAAAGAGCACGAGUUGCUUGUCUUCCCCAAAGUGCGAUAAAGGAAAGGUUGUGUACAACAUGCCAGAUGCAAGGCUUUUUAACUGACAGGAAAUGAAAUGUGUCAAAUUGCCAG